UAUGUGAUCGUCUCUCGCAUAUCAAUAAGCGGAGGAAAAGAAACUAACAAGGAUUCCCCUAGUAACGGCGAGUGAAGCGGGAAGAGCUCAAAUUUGAAAUCUUAAAGGGUUUCCCUUUACGAAUUGUAGUUUAAAGAAGUGUUUUCUGUUGAGGUUUUGGUAAAAGUUCUUUGGAAUAGGACAUCAUAGAGGGUGAGAAUCCCGUAUUUGACCUUUACUUUCAACUUUGUGAUACACUUUCAAAGAGCCGGAUUGUUUGGGAAUGCAGUCCAAAAUGGGUGGUAAAUUUCAUCUAAAGCUAAAUAUUGGCGAGAGACCGAUAGCGAACAAGUACCGUGAGGGAAAGAUGAAAAGAACUUUGAAAAGAGAGUUAAACAGUACGUGAAAUUGUCAAAAGGGAAGCGUUUGACACCAGUGUUGUUUUUCUGAAAAUCAAUUAAAGAACUGUUUAUGCUAAGCUGUUUAGACUUUAUCAGCUAUCUGUUUAGUUUUGAGCUUUUCUUUAAUGCACUUUUCAGUUAACAAGUCAACAUCAAUUUCUUUUGCCUGUAAAAAAGCUUGAGGAAGGUGGCUUGAGAUUCGUCUUAAGUGUUUUAUAGCCUCUUGCCUAUGCAGUCGGAGAGAUUGAGGUCUGCAGCGUAGAUCCUUCGGGGCUAAAUGCAUUUGUGCUAAGUUAUAGCAUUUUAUAGACAACUUGUUGACUAUGAUUUGUCUUGUAGCUUACUCGCUUAUGUUAUUUUACCUACGCUUAGGAUGUUGAGCGCAUGUCUCUCUCU
rnacentral:rRNA from 1 species